GGUUCAUAUUCACAACUUUAUC
rnacentral:snRNA from 1 species